rnacentral:rRNA from 1 species
AACGAACGCUGGCGGCAUGCCUAACACAUGCAAGUCGAACGAGACCUUCGGGUCUAGUGGCGCACGGGUGCGUAACGCUGGGAACCUGCCUUUAGGUUCGGAAUAACAGUGAGAAAUGACUGCUAAUACCGGAUGAUGUCUUCGGACCAAAGAUUUAUCGGCAAAGGAUGAGCCCGCGUAGGAUUAGGUAGUUGGUGGGGUAAAAGGCCUACCAAGCCGACGAUCCUUAGCUGGUCUGAGAGGAUGAUCAGCCACACUGGGACUGAGACACGGCCCAGACUCCUACGGGAGGCAGCAGUGGGGAAUAUUGGACAAUGGGCGAAAGCCUGAUCCAGCAAUGCCGCGUGAGUGAUGAAGGCCUUAGGGUUGUAAAGCUCUUUUACCCGAGAUGAUAAUGACAGUAUCGGGAGAAUAAGCUCCGGCUAACUCCGUG